GACAGAGGGUGCAAACGUUGUUCGGAAUUACUGGGCGUAAAGCGCACGUAGGCGGAUAUUUAAGUCAGGGGUGAAAUCCCGGGGCUCAACCCCGGAACUGCCUUUGAUACUGGGUAUCUAGAGUCCGGAAGAGGUGAGUGGAAUUCCGAGUGUAGAGGUGAAAUUCGUAGAUAUUCGGAGGAACACCAGUGGCGAAGGCGGCUCACUGGUCCGGUACUGACGCUGAGGUGCGAAGGCGUGGGGAGCAAACAGG
rnacentral:rRNA from 1 species